AACGGAAAGGCCCUGCUUGCAUGGUACUCGAGUGGCGAACGGGUGAGUAACACGUGGGUGAUCUGCCCUGCACUUCGGGAUAAGCCUGGGAAACUGGGUCUAAUACCGGAUAGGAGCCAUUUUUAGUGUGAUGGUUGGAAAGUUUUUUCGGUGUAGGAUGAGCUCGCGGCCUAUCAGCUUGUUGGUGGGGUAAUGGCCUACCAAGGCGGCGACGGGUAGCCGGCCUGAGAGGGUGGACGGCCACAUUGGGACUGAGAUACGGCCCAGACUCCUACGGGAGGCAGCAGUGGGGAAUAUUGCACAAUGGGCGCAAGCCUGAUGCAGCGACGCCGCGUGGGGGAUGACGGCCUUCGGGUUGUAAACUCCUUUCGCUAGGGACGAAGCUUUUGUGACGGUACCUAGAUAAGAAGCACCGGCUAACUACGUGCCAGCAGCCGCGGUAAUACGUAGGGUGCGAGCGUUGUCCGGAAUUACUGGGCGUAAAGGGCUCGUAGGUGGUUUGUCGCGUCGUCUGUGAAAUUCCGGGGCUUAACUCCGGGCGUGCAGGCGAUACGGGCAUAACUUGAGUACUGUAGGGGUAACUGGAAUUCCUGGUGUAGCGGUGAAAUGCGCAGAUAUCAGGAGGAACACCGAUGGCGAAGGCAGGUUACUGGGCAGUUACUGACGCUGAGGAGCGAAAGCAUGGGUAGCGAACAGGAUUAGAUACCCUGGUAGUCCAUGCCGUAAACGGUGGGCGCUAGGUGUGAGGGUCUUUUC
rnacentral:rRNA from 1 species